AGCUUUGCGCAGUGGCAGUAUCAUAGCCAAUGAGGUUUAUCCGAGGCGCGAUUAUUGCUAAUUAAAAAAAAAAAAAAAAAACAUACACACAACUUGUUGAAAAGUUUUUCCAUUUUAAAACUAUUUUAAUAAAU